rfam:Trichobilharzia regenti genome assembly, scaffold: TRE_scaffold0001945
AUCCAGACGAUGAGUCCUAAACAGGACGAAAUGCGCAUCCUGGCUGGAU